CAAAAUUUCAGCAAAAGUCUUCAUAGAUAAAUUGUGUAUCGACAAACGCCCCUGUAGGUUGGUCUUGGUACUGCACCCCCUCAUUAAUAAUUCACACAAUGUGUAAAAUUUCAGAGCUUUUGAUUGGCUGUCAGCCGGAAGGUCCACAUAAUACUGCGUUUUAUCAGGAAAGCAGUGUAUUCUACAAUUAAUAAUACAGUAUCAUGUGAGCCAGCAUUGGCACCUGCACCUGCCUGUGUGAAGAGAGGAGAUCAAGAGGGAGUCAGCAUGUCUGUAAUGAGGCCACAGAGAGCUAAGCUUAAGCCUAAAGAAGAGGCAUCUUAUUUGUCAUCAUUGGGAAAGGACAAGGAUGGAUUUACUAUAAAAUAUAUUAAUUCAUUCAAAGGUCGAGGAGUGUUUAGUUGCCGCCACUUUCAGAAAGGAGACUUUCUCAUAGAAUAUCGACGGGAAGUCUUAAGCAAAAAGGAGUAUGAGUACCGACUAAGACUGUACCAUGAUGCUCUGAUGGUUGAAUUAUACUACAAUGGGGAAAAAACUAUGUGUUGAUGCAGCAAAGGAGGAUGACUCCUUGGGCAGACUUGUC